rnacentral:lncRNA from 1 species
AAAAGUUCCAAAACUAGUCACUUGACUACAAUUCAAAGGACUAAUCUUGACUCAAAUCAAAGGAAUGACAAAUGGAGGGACUCUAAGAGUUUUUAAAAGAAACUAAAUAAACAUAGCAAAUCAAUAGUUCUCUUGCCACGCGAAGCAAUGCGGGGCUCACCAGAUGCUACCAACUCACACGCUAGUUAAUGAAAUCCUCUUCAAUACCACCUGAAUUCUCUAGUAAAAACAAUUAGCGAGGAGUGAGACGCUAGCUCAGUGAGUAAUAAUACUUAACCACAACCAUUUUAAUGAGGGACAAGUCAGAAAACAUGCUAGUGUAAUAGUCAUAAUGAUGAAACAAUGCUCUUUCAGAAACAAUAACAAUAUUCAAUCUUAGGUGUCUCAUAUAAGCAAAAUCAAUGUAAAUACCUAAUAAUAUACUAGUUCUACCUUCCCACUAGCAAGGACUUUAUCAGUAAUCGAUAACUACAAGGUGCACCAGGUCUAACGAACCCGCCGUUAGCUACGAGAUUCAUCAAGGUCUACUCCCAUUUAUAUUUUUCUUGUAAUCAGUAAAAACAAUUCAAAAUCGAACAGAGCAUUUAAAUCUUAUCAAAUCAUAUCAUUUCAAAGUUUAACAAUCACCUGUCAAAAUACUAUUUCUCAAAUAAGUGUAAAACCUUUUCAAUAUCAAUAAUCAUAUCUUAUAAGAAUGAGAUCAUCUCAAAUAAUCUUUAUAAACAUUCGAUAACACAUUUACUUUAUAAACCAUGUGAAAGUCAUGCAAGUUAUAAAACAUCAAUUGUGGUAAAAUUACUACUCACAAUACUCGUGUUGAAGUACCAAAUCUGUCACUUGGGCAAUCUGUAUGACUUCCUUCAAUCAAUCUAUAAUCACAUCAUAUCGGUCUCGUAAUACUUCCUUCGUUUAGGCUAAUUCAUACUAAAUUCAGAAUACCCAAAUCUUUCGAGGUUUUAUGAUAGACUCUCAAUCUGUCAAUUUAUAUCAAAUUGGUGCUUCAGAUCCCGCAAAACAGUCUCAUUGUUGAUUACUUCACCCUAUAAUAAACAAAACUAAUGUCACUGUCCAGCAAUUCUUCUUCGGUUAUGCCGAACUACAAAAGUUUGGUCAAAACAUUCAACAUACUCUCUCAAACCGUAAGAUAAUAAGAGUUUAACGGAUUCCUUUAUUCCUUCUAAACCCAUGUUUUUCAAACUCUCAGUUCUCAAAUUUAUAGUCAGGGAAUAUACAAAUUCAAUCUUUAAACUAAGUUAAGAUACUUACCUUGAAAUCCAUACUUGAAAUAGCAAGAGUUCCACUUCUUCUCCAUUUAGUUAUUUUUCUCUAUUUUAAUCGAUUUCAUGACUCCUUCACAGGAAGAGGCUCCAAGAACAUACUCUUUCUUCCUUUUUUUUUUUUCAAGAGUUGCUGACAAAACUCUAACUCCAAUAAUUUCUUUAGCUUAAUUUAAUUUUUCCCUUAUUAGGUUUCUGAUGGGCUAAGGCCCAUUUGAUUUUUUUUUUAGCUAAUGACUAAUAUGUCCUUGUUUAAAAUAUGGGAUAUUACAACCAUUUACAGUUAUUGUUCUUGCCUUAAGUAGUAGGUUCUUUCAUGUUACUCAUCCCACUAUGUCACCUAAAUUGGGAUUGAUGAUGUCUAUAUUCUAUCAUUUUUGGUCAGUGAUGUGUUUU